rnacentral:lncRNA from 1 species
CAAAAAGUGUCAGCAGCACACAGCUGCCUAUGAGGAGCUUCUGAAAAUGACUUUUUUCUACACGGGUUCACUUUUCCUAUAAAGUUUGCAUGUCUCCCUCCCUGCCUGCUUGUCCGUUUGUCUGUCUGUCUUCCAGUCUACCUGCAGUUUAACGGGAGCCGUGGGUGCCUCCAUAGCCGUCAGGGAGAAGGUCAGGCAUGCUAGGACAACCGCAGACGAAC